rnacentral:tRNA from 7 species
UCUGUUUUACCGAGAAGGUCUACGGUUCAAGCCCGUAUAGCCCUAA